ensembl:snRNA U6 U6 spliceosomal RNA
CUGCUCACUUCGGCAGCACAUAUACUAAAAUUGGAAUGAGACAAAGAACAUUAGCAAGGCCCCUGUGCUAUGAAUGACAUGCAAAUUUGUGAAGUAUUCCAUAUAUUU